rnacentral:rRNA from 1 species
UACGUAGGGGGCAAGCGUUGUCCGGAUUUAUUGGGCGUAAAGAGCUCGUAGGCGGUUUGGUAAGUCUGGUGUGAAAUCUCCACGCUCAACGUGGAGGGGCCACCCGAUACUGCCAUGACUGGAGUCCGGUAGAGGAGUGUGGAAUUCCCGGUGUAGCGGUGAAAUGCGCAGAUAUCAGGAGGAACACCGGUGGCGAAGGCGGGUCUCUGGGCAACAACUGACGCUGAGGAGCGAAAGCGUGGGGAGCGAACAGG